UACGUAGGGGGCAAGCGUUAUCCGGAUUUACUGGGUGUAAAGGGAGCGUAGACGGCCAGACAAAUCUGAAGUGAAAAUCCAGCGCUUAACGUUGGAAGUGCUUUGGAAACUGCCGGGCUAGAGUGCAGGAGGGGCAGGCGGAAUUCCUAGUGUAGCGGUGAAAUGCGUAGAUAUUAGGAGGAACACCAGUGGCGAAGGCGGCCUGCUGGACUGCAACUGGCGUUGAGGCUCGAAGGCGUGGGGAGCAAACAGG
rnacentral:rRNA from 1 species